rnacentral:rRNA from 1 species
CCUACGGGAGGCAGCAGUGAGGAAUAUUGGUCAAUGGACGAGAGUCUGAACCAGCCAAGUCGCGUGAAGGAUGACUGCCCUAUGGGUUGUAAACUUCUUUUAUAUGGGAAUAAAACGUUCCACGUGUGGGAUUUUGUAUGUACCAUAUGAAUAAGGAUCGGCUAACUCCGUGCCAGCAGCCGCGGUAAUACGGAGGAUCCGAGCGUUAUCCGGAUUUAUUGGGUUUAAAGGGAGCGUAGGUGGAUUGUUAAGUCAGUUGUGAAAGUUUGCGGCUCAACCGUAAAAUUGCAGUUGAAACUGGCAGUCUUGAGUACAGUAGAGGUGGGCGGAAUGCGUGGUGUAGCGGUGAAAUGCUUAGAUAUCACGAAGAACUCCGAUUGCGAAGGCAGUUCACUGGACUGCAACUGACACUGAGGCUCGAAAGUGUGGGUAUCAAACAGGAUUAGAUACCCCAGUAGUC